rnacentral:rRNA from 1 species
UACGUAGGGGGCAAGCGUUGUCCGGAUUCAUUGGGCGUAAAGCGCGUGUAGGCGGCCAGGUAGGUCCGGUGUGAAAACUCGAGGCUCAACCUCGAGAGGUCAUCGGAAACCAUCUGGCUAGAGUCCGGAAGAGGAGAGUGGAAUUCCCGGUGUAGCGGUGAAAUGCGCAGAUAUCGGGAAGAACACCAACGGCGAAGGCAGCUCGCUGGGACGGUACUGACGCUGAGAGCGAAAGCG